rnacentral:rRNA from 1 species
AACGAACGCUGGCGGCAGGCUUAACACAUGCAAGUCGAACGGGCGUAGCAAUACGUCAGUGGCAGACGGGUGAGUAACACGUGGGAACCUUCCUAGGGGUACGGAACAACUCAGGGAACUUGAGCUAAUACCGUAUACGUCCGUGAGGAGAAAGAUUUAUCGCCCUUAGACGGGCCCGCGUCGGAUUAGCUAGUUGGUGGGUAACGCCUACCAAGGCGACGAUCCGUAGCUGAUCUGAGAGGAUGAUCAGCCACACUGGGACUGAGACACGGCCCAGACUCCUACGGGAGGCAGCAGUGGGAAUCUUGGACAAUGGGCGCAAGCCUGAUCCAGCCAUGCCGCGUGAGUGAAGAAGGCCUUCGGGUUGUAAAGCUCUUUUGUCUAGGGAC